rfam:Cucumis melo, WGS project CAJI01000000 data, contig: 05768
ACACCGGAUUUUUUUAAAUCCAAAUAUAAAUUCAAUGCUUCUAAAG